GCACUCACACUCACGCUCACGCUCACGCUCACACACACAUUCGCACUCACACAUACACUCACACUCACACUCACACUCACUCACAAUCACACUGACACUCACAAAUAUAUAUACUAUCACCUUUAAUCUGAUAUGCCUCGUGAAAUUCCAUAUUACUUUGUAUAGAAUUAGGCAUAGGAAUGCGUUUCUUCUCUUGAUGAAUUGGGUACGCUAAAUACCCAAUUGUGAUAAUCCAUGUUAAUUUUUUAUCUUAUUUGUGCUAUUUUUUAUUAUUAUUGUUGAGAUUCAUCUUCAUCAAGUUUUCUUGUUAAUCAACAAGCUUGAAAGCAACUUAUCAUCUAGGCGGAUCUCCUUACGUCAAUCGAUAUUUGAGAUCUUGAUCUUGCUAGCUUGAUUUGCUUAAUGGUUCUUUCUUCUCGAAUAUAAUACUGCCC
rnacentral:lncRNA from 1 species